UCUCCUUGUUUCACAAGGCGAAUUGUAAUCUAUAGAGGUAGUUCACACCGGGUGGUGGCGCAGAAGUUCCCUGGAACGGGACGCCAAAGAGGGUGAGAGCCCCGUAUGUGGUGCCGCCGCCUAACGUAGAACGCUCUCAAAGAGUCGGGUUGUUUUGUAGUGCAGCCCUAAUCAGGAGAUAAACUUCUUCUAAGGCUAAAUAUAUAUGGGAAACCGAUAGCGAACAAGUACUGUGAAGGAAAGAUGAAAAGCACUUUGGAAAGAGAGUCAAAAGACCUGAAACCGUUGAGGCGGAAGCGGUAGAGAAGUAGUCUAUGUGAGGCUCUGGGAAGUUGGUCAAAGCUAGCAGGGGACUCGUACGUAAAAGGCGAUAACCGACCUAAGUGGAAACCAAGGGCUCGAGUGCUUACGUAAGGCCGGAUGGGGUAGUGGAAUCGCAUAGGCCGUGAGAACUUGGCGGGUUUACCUGCAGUUCUUGCGAGUCGGUGGCUCCAUUGCCUGAGGGUGCUUUGUGCGAUCCGGUCGAAACGGUCUUUACCGACUCGUCUUGAAACACGAACCAAGGAGUCUA
rnacentral:rRNA from 1 species